rnacentral:rRNA from 1 species
ACGAUUAAACUUCCCUUCGGGGAAGAAUAAAGUGGCGCACGGGUGAGUAACACGUAAGUAAUCUGCCUUCGAGUGGGGAAUAACCCGGGGAAACCCGAGCUAAUACCGCAUAAUGCAGCGGCACCGCAAGGUGACAGUUGUUAAAGGAGCAAUCCGCUUGAAGAGGAGCUUGCGGCAGAUUAGCUAGUUGGUAAGGUAAUGGCUUACCAAGGCUACGAUCUGUAUCCGGUCUAAGAGGACGGUCGGACACACUGACACUGAACAACGGGUCAGACUCCUACGGGAGGCAGCAGUCGGGAAUUUUGGGCAAUGGGCGAAAGCCUGACCCAGCAACGCCGCGUGAAGGAUGAAGUAUUUCGGUAUGUAAACUUCGAAAGAAUAGGAAGAAUAAAUGACGGUACUAUUUAUAAGCUCCGGCUAACUACGUGCCAGCAGCCGCGGUAAUACGUAGGGAGCAAGCGUUGUUCGGAUUUACUGGGCGUAAAGGGCGCGUAGGCGGCGCAGUAAGUUACUUGUGAAAUCUCUGAGCUUAACUCAGAACGGCCAAGUAAUACUGCAGUGCUAGAGUGCAGAAAGGGCAAUCGGAAUUCUUGGUGUAGCGGUGAAAUGCGUAGAUAUCAAGAGGAACACCUGAGGCGAAGGCGGGUUGCUUGUCUGACACUGACGCUGAGGCGCGAAAGCCAGGGGAGCAAACGGGAUUAGAUACCCCGGUAGUCCUGGCCCUAAACGAUGAAUACUUGGUGUCUGGAGUU